rnacentral:rRNA from 1 species
UACGUAGGUGGCGAGCGUUGUCCGGAAUUAUUGGGCGUAAAGCGCGCGCAGGCGGUCUUUUAAGUCUGAUGUGAAAGCCCACGGCUCAACCGUGGAGGGUCAUUGGAAACUGGGAGACUUGAGUGCAGAAGAGAAGAGUGGAAUUCCACGUGUAGCGGUGAAAUGCGUAGAGAUGUGGAGGAACACCAGUGGCGAAGGCGACUCUUUGGUCUGUAACUGACGCUGAGGCGCGAAAGCGUGGGGAGCAAACAGG